rnacentral:rRNA from 1 species
GACGAACGCUGGCGGCGUGCUUAACACAUGCAAGUCGAACGGAAAGGCCCUGCUUUUGUGGGGUGCUCGAGUGGCGAACGGGUGAGUAACACGUGAGUAACCUGCCCUUGACUUUGGGAUAACUUCAGGAAACUGGGGCUAAUACCGGAUAGGAGCUCCUGCUGCAUGGUGGGGGUUGGAAAGUUUCGGCGGUUGGGGAUGGACUCGCGGCUUAUCAGCUUGUUGGUGGGGUAGUGGCUUACCAAGGCUUUGACGGGUAGCCGGCCGGAGAGGGUGACCGGCCACAUUGGGACUGAGAUACGGCCCAGACGCCUACGGGAGGAAGCAGUGGAGAAUAUUGCACAAUGGGCGGAAGCCUGAUGCAGCAACGCCGCGUGCAGGAUGACGGCCUUCGGGUUGUAAACCGCUUUCGCCUGUGACGAAGCGUGGGUGACGGUAAUGGGUAAAGAAGCACCGGCUAACUACGU